UAAUUUAAAAAUUUUAAUUUACUACAUAUUUAAAAGUCGUGAUAAAUCCGUAAAACAUGGAUAGAAUUCUCUCUGACAUAUAUGUAGUAAAAUGAUUUCGGUUAGUUGCUAGCUUCACAUUUCGGUAUCGAAAGUUUGACAACACUGUAAUGAGUUUCAAAAAUUAUAUUCCUGGCACAGGCAAGCAAGGUCUAUUCAUAUACCUUGUCUGUGUUCCUGGCGCAUUCACUACUUGAUCAACCUCGAUCGUCUUAUUUGAUGUAAUUCCCCAAUUCACCGUUGUUUAAACGUAGAGUGCGCUAAAAAACUAGUGAUUUUUUUACUGUCGGUUUCCGGCCACGAAACCUCGUAAGAUGCAAGGUCUAUUCGUAUACCUUGUCUGUGAACGAGGUAUAUACUUCGUUUGCGUUCUGAGCGAAUAUUGUUUGUUGUUCGUUACGUUGUUCGCAAGUGUUCAGAUUGCCAGUGAACGCAGUUCGUAACUGUUUAUCUUCCUCAUAAAUAGCAAAAGAUUUAUGUUUAACUUCGUAAAACAAAGGCAUAUGAUUACAACUUUUUGUGCGUCUAGUUUGACAUAUGCUGAAACAUAUUAUUAGAGAGAAUAAUACUAUGGCCUCCUUGUGAUAUUUAAGGCUGUCUUUAAGUGCUGUCAUAUUUUUUCUUCUAUACUAACUGUAAACACAGAGAAAGAUGUUUUUGCUAAAUGUCACAAAUAGAUAAAGGGUGAAGAAUUCGAGGCGUAAAGUAUUUCGGUCCCAAAAGUCUUUAUUCGACUGUCGGAUUGUCGUCCGAUCAACCAUCCCCUUUCCCAGGCACAAACCUCUUCUCGAAACAUAAACAGUUCGUUCCUAUAGCGAUCGUCCCAAUGAUCGCCUACAUUUAUAAAUUAAGGAAGUUAAGAAGUUAAGAAUUAUGUGUUGGAAUAUAUCUCAUAAAAAGUUUAUAGAACUAGUAUUUAUAAGGUCUUUGAUAUUUUUUGUCUAUCUAUUAUAUUUAAAUCCAUAUUUUCACCUUGGCUCUUUAUUUGGAAACU